ACUCCUGCGGGAGGCAGCAGUGAGGAAUAUUGGACAAUGGGUGGAAGCCUGAUCCAGCCAUCCCGCGUGCAGGAAGACGGCCCUAUGGGUUGUAAACUGCUUUUAUCUGGGGAUAAACCUACUUACGUGUAAGUAGCUGAAGGUACCAGAAGAAUAAGCACCGGCUAACUCCGUGCCAGCAGCCGCGGUAAUACGGAGGGUGCAAGCGUUAUCCGGAUUUAUUGGGUUUAAAGGGUCCGUAGGCGGACUGAUAAGUCAGUGGUGAAAUCCGACAGCUUAACUGUCGAACUGCCAUUGAUACUGUUAGUCUUGAGUAAGGUUGAAGUGGCUGGAAUAAGUAGUGUAGCGGUGAAAUGCAUAGAUAUUACUUAGAACACCAAUUGCGAAGGCAGGUCACUAAGUCUUAACUGACGCUGAUGGACGAAAGCGUGGGGAGCGAACAGGAUUAGAAACCCGGGUAGUCCC
rnacentral:rRNA from 1 species